GUGCCAGCCGCCGCGGUAAUACGGAGGGGGCGAGCGUUAUUCGGAAUUAUUGGGCGUAAAGGGCGCGUAGGCGGCUUGGCAAGUCAAAGGUGAAAUCCCUCGGCUCAACUGAGGAACUGCCUUUGAAACUGCCUGGCUUGAGUCCGGGAGGGGGUAGCGGAAUUCCCAGUGUAGCGGUGAAAUGCGUAGAUAUUGGGAGGAACACCAGUGGCGAAGGCGGCUACCUGGACCGGAACUGACGCUGAUGCGCGAAAGCGUGGGUAGCAAACAGGAUUAGAUACCCGGGUAGUCC
rnacentral:rRNA from 1 species